CACCCCCGCUCAUCAAUGAGCAAAGAGACAGCUUGUUGGUGGUGCUGUUCUUAGAUCAGCCAGGGGCAGAGUAGGUGGCAGUGCUUUGUUCAUCCUAGCUUGACGCCUUGGUUGAUGGCCAAAGCUGUGUCAUGCCUAGGACUCAUAA